rnacentral:lncRNA from 1 species
AUGGUAGAUAUACCAGUACAGAGGAAUGAUGAAAUUCCCAGAAACCCACUGGUGGGAAGACAGAUAGCCUGUGCUGCCCAGGAAGCUGACCAUUUCCUCUCCUGCAUGAGGACAACAUGGCCCACUUUGGAAUUACUUCUUCCUUUUUAGAAUAUGUGCUUCCAAAAUACAAAUUGCAACUGAAUGUUUCUGUCCUUAGAUAACUGUAUAUUAUAUAAUAAAAUGAACCUGGAAAAGGCAAUAGUGUUCUUUCGUAUCUAAAAUAUGAAUAUGACAGAAGUAGAAUGAAAAUAUAUUUGUCUCUAGCCUAUUUACCCCCACAACUUGUGAAAGGAAUUUUAUCAGUGUCCACAGAGGUCUUAUAUCCCACCUACCCAACCUGUCAAAAAGCCCCUGGAUCUUAGGCCUUACAAGGCAGAAAUGAUAAAAUAUAAAGAAAUAUUUUAUCUGAAAUUUGAAGCACAUCUUCAUCCCAUCAUUUCCAUUUCAGAAAAUGGCAUCAUAGUUUUCCCUUGGCCCUCAUAACCAAUUCAUUAGCAAGUGCUAUAGGAUCUAACUCAAAUAUAUUUGGAAUCAGCCCAUUCCUUUCUCUCACUGUCACCUUGAUCACCUAAGCACCCUUAUUACUCCGUAACUGUUCUCUUUGAAUCCAUGACUCUUCCUCUCAAAUAAUUCUUUGCAAAAUCAUAAGAUUUUCUUAGAAACUUUAUUCAUUCCAUUUCUCUAGUUAGGACAUGUCAUUGACUUCCCAUUACCUUUAGAAUUAAAUACAAACUUAUAUACUAUAAAACCCCACAUGAUCCGACCCUUACCUGCUUCCCAACUUCCUGUCAUUUCAUUUCUCCCUCCCUCCCUCAAUUACAGCCACGGUGAACCUUGUCUUAGAUUGGGUUUCUCUGAAGUCAUACCAUGAGAUGAGGAUUUGGAUGAUCUAGUUUAUUUUGGAGGUGAUAUGGGAAAUAUAGUGGAGAGAGAGGAGGUGAGACAGAGAAGAGAGCAAGACCAAAAAACGUGCUUUAAUUAGUGCGUUACUACAAUGGGUAAAUGGGGCUCUGUCCACCUGGAGACUCUUAAAGGACCAUGUGAAACACACUAUAUUAUUGAGGGACAAGGAAAUGGGUAUUUAUUCAUCAACUACGAUUCUUUGUUGGUUGAGGAUUACUCCUGAGAAUGUUGACUCCCUGAUAUUCUAGUUAUCCGCAUAUUGGAACCAACCUUGCUCCCAUGGCAAUAGAAUGAAGGACCAGACCCUGAAUUUGCUGUGAAGCCCUCUCUUUCUCUGGUUCCUCCCAUGGAAUUUAGCUUUCUGGAUCUUCCAACGAAUGAAUCAGAAUAAUAUUCACAAAUGUGGCCUCUUGGGAAUCCACAGAGGCCUACCAAGU